CUCAUUAUCACUAACAGCAGAGUACGGCAAUCCCGAGGCUUGAAAGUAUACCAAAGUGAUUCAUAUGCCGCAUCGCCGACCAUUUUGCUCUAGAAUGCAAAUGAGAGACAGAUGCGUGGAAAAACGAGACGUCGCCCUUGGCGCACACAGUGCUUCAUUUCUACAUAUUCACCGGCGAAACAGAAGAUAAAUGCCUCCAGAGUGAUGGCUAUGUAGAAAAACACGGUUUUUACUAACAUCCUGAUGCCUUCGUCUGUACCUAACGACUAUAAAUCAGAGAGAGAUUCAAGAAGAACGUUGAUGACUAUAGGCAGAGGCCUCAGACACGUGGCGUGCGGACGGGAAGCGGUCAGUUCCCCCCAUCGCGCAGCCCGCAAGGGCCUUAUGAUAGAGGUAGUGUAAACGAAGGUAUAUCCUUUCACUUUUGUAGCUUUUCAGCUGAGAAAUAACUCUUCGCUUAACAGGCAGCGUUAUACCAACAC